rnacentral:lncRNA from 1 species
GGGGAAGCGGGGGCGGGGUGGCGCAGGAAGAAGGAGCAGAAGGUGCGGGGAGGAGAGCGGGGGGCGCCGGCGGCGAGCGCGCGUGGAGGCGGCACUUCGCGAAGUGGCACUUCGGGGCGGGCGGCUGGCCCGCCGGGUCACGGCCUGGCGCUGCGGGGAGGGGACCCGAGCGGCUCGGACGCAGGACGCCGCGGGCCGGGUUUACAGGCCAGCUUCCUGCUGUGCUCUCUGCACCCACCGACCUCACACGCAGCCCUAGAACUGACGUCCACUGGCCUGAACUGGGUCUGGGGCCAACACGGAGCAGGUGGGGGUAGAGCAGCCCUGCUUGCCUGGAGGAAAGUUGAAUGGCUGGAACCAAGAUGACAGAUGGAGGCUGGCAGGCAAACACGGGAGGUCUCCUCACUCCAAGAGGGGAGUCAGCCUGGGGACAGUUCUUCUCCAGGCCCUGCUGCUCCUAUCAGCUGCAACACAGCAGAGGUAGGCCCCUCCGGAAAAGCUCCCACGGUCCUGGGUCCUGCUCCAACUUCUAGAAGCUCCCAGCGUUACUUCCUGGGCAGGCCUGCUCAUCAUCGCGCUACUCCUGUCCAAGGGGAUAGUCACGUUCACAUUCGGUGACCGACUCAGAGCCCAGCCUGCUUUCCAGGUGGCCAGUGGCUCAGCAGUCUCAGUGCCUGGGCCUGCUCCCUCCACCUGGCAGCUGGGCAAGCGGCUGAAUGCGGGCCGGAGGCCUUCCCUGAGAAGAGGGUUAUCAGAACACCUGCCAUACAUGGAGGUGACCAGCUCAGCGCCUGAGAAGACGCACCGCAGCUGAUGACAGGCGCAGAGCGGGACGUGGUGAGGUCCUCAUACGUAGGAAUGGAGAAUAAGGGCAAGGAACUCGGUGCCCGCCUGGCAUCUGCCCUGCACCAGUGGUCUCCAGGAAGGUCUCCACCGAGGAUGUUCCCCGGGCACUCCGUGCUUGCCUUCACCAGCGUCCUGUGAGGCCUUUUGCACUGAUGCGGAAGCCUUUCUAAAGGGUGUAGGGGGCUGGGGGGUUGAGUACCAAAGGUUCCAGGAAGAGACAGGCCAGGCUUAUGGGCUGGGCAUCCAGAGAUCGCCCUGACGCCAGCUCCAGGUGGAGUUAGGAGGGCACUCUUGUCCCGACGCAUUUUAUUUUGGAGGUGUUCACAGACCACCGCCUCUUCCUGUUCCCCUCGACUCUGAGAGUGUGGUGGGGUAGCUGUGGAACCUGACUGCUUGCCUGAAGGUUGGGGAGCGUGGCUAGAAACUGUGGCCCAGACCUGGGAUCUCACCCACGCCUCUACGAGACGUCCCGAACUCAUCCCAUGGACUGAGCGGGGAGGCUUCGCCCUGCCCGCCUCCUCCCAGGAAGGAAGAGCGGAAGAGGUGUCGCCAGCCGCCGAGACUGCCAGCCACCACCCCCUCCCAGAUGCUCUGUCCCCACCCAGACCAGGGUCACCUUCUUCCCGCACUGGGGGUGGGGUGGGGUAGGUUUCGCAAAUCCAGACUGGGGGGUGGGGGUGGGAGCAGGUUUCUGUAAAUGAGCAGCUCAUCCAGAGUCACUGAGAAGGAGGCAGACGGAGCCAGUACCCAGCAGGUCUCCUCUCGUGAGCGUCAGCCCUCGCCUGGGCGGGCCGGGGGAUCCUCGGCACCCCAGCUCUGAGCCAGGGGUCUGCAGCCAGGGCACCAGCGAUGGGCCCUCAUGCACACAGGGUGCCGAGUGGGGCCGGAGGCAGGAGUGACUUCAGACAAGAACCUGAUGCCACAGCGGGCGACGCGGACCGUGGGUCAGCCAGCACGAUGGACCGCUGGGGAGAGGAGGGCUGGAGGCAGAGAGUGGAAGUGUGCAGCCUUCAUCAGCUUAUUUUUAGUUGAGUUAUGUAAGUGGCUUCAUCUCAACGUCACAUGGGGGGGGGUCUCAGAUUUAAUUACAGGAUGACAGCCUUUGCUUUUCAAGCAAGCUGUUCUCCUGGCAAGCCAGGCGAAGGAUUGAGGAGUUUUGCUAAGCAGAAGGAGCCCUUUCCGAGGUGACCACCUAGCAAAACUUGAACCCGCUUUCACUUCCGUCUCCCUCUUCCUGACCAGCCUCAGCCGGCCUCGGCUGAAUGUGGCCUGAGAGUAGCCACUUGUGCGCAAUCAUGGGGACAUUUUAUGCCUGUCAAGGGAGCUUCCUCUCUCCUCUUCCUCUCCCUCCCACCCUCUGCCUGGCAGCUUUGCCUUCUCUCCAAGAGAAGGGUCCACCCAAUCAGAACUCCUCUUCCUUCAUUUCAUUCCUGGAUUAAAGCACUUGUAAUCA